GUGCUCGCUUCGGCAACACAUAUACUAAAAUUGGAACGAUAUAGAGAAGAUUAGCGUGGCCCCUGCGCAAAGAUGACCUGCAAAUUCGUGAAGCGUUCUAUAUUUUU
rnacentral:snRNA from 1 species